rnacentral:rRNA from 1 species
UACAGAGGGUGCGAGCGUUAAUCGGAAUUACUGGGCGUAAAGGGCGCGUAGGCGGCCAUUCAAGUGACGGGUGAAAGCCCUCGGCUUAACCGAGGAACUGCCUGUCAGACUGGAUGGCUUGAGACCGGGAGAGGUGAGUGGAAUUCCCAGUGUAGCGGUGAAAUGCGUAGAUAUUGGGAGGAACACCAGUGGCGAAGGCGGCUCACUGGACCGGAACUGACGCUGAGGCGCGAAAGCGUGGGGAGCAAACAGG